rnacentral:tRNA from 1 species
GAAAUAUAAAAAUUAAGCUGCUAACUUAAUGUAUAGUGAAUGGUAUUCAUUAAUAUUUCU